GUGUAAACUUCAAAACUAAGACAAGGAUAUUUGUGGCAGAACUAUUUCUGCUUUUAUAAUCUGGAGUUCAAGGCUGGGAGAGAUGUCUUUUUUCCUUGAGCUGCUCAAAAAUAAAAUUGAUUUUUCAUACCUAAUCCUGGAAUAAGAUUUCUUUUGAGAAACUGUGAAACACUAACAGUGGGAUGUUGCUGGUGGUUUAUCAUAAUCUUCCACUUCCCACAAUCCUGGAAAUCUGGUGUAAAUUUAAAUUUUUAAAAAAAUUUUUGAAUGCUUAGAAGUUCAUUUAAUUGGAGGACAAUAAUUGUUUCUAGUACAGCUGAUUAGACAAGCUGCUCUAUUCAAAAUAGAAAACUAAAUCUUAGUGUAUUACAGGAUGCAAUUUUUUCUCCAUAUUAAAGUAGUUUUAGCUAGUCGGAGCAAUUAUCAUACUCUGUAGGGCCUGAUAAAGGUUGCUUCAUCACAUUUUCAGGUCAUAUUUUUUUUCCUUGUACUUAAUAAUGUUUCUUGAGACUGUGCUUUUCUGAAGGACAAUGAAUUAUAAAAUAUAGGCUUAGUGUUACGGAAAACAGUAGUAGUAUUAUCAUGAAAACAGCUAUCUUCUAUAGUUAAUAAAGACUUACUAGGUUUCUAACACCUAUUAUAGACUGGUUUUAAUUAUUAUUAUUAUUAUUAUUAUUCCCCUUGCAUUAAUGUUAAAAAGUAACAUGUUUUGUAGUACCGGUCAGUUUUUUGUGGUUUCAGACCUUCUCAGUCUAAGAGUGGUUUUUGCAUGUUCUUCAAUUCACAUGAUAGUUCAACAGCAGCUGACACUGAGAUUGAGGGAAGAAGUGCACAAAAUUCAUGGGUGAUCUCUUCUAAAAUCCAUGGAGUGUGUUCAAUGUGCACCUUAAAAGAUCCUUGAGCUGAUAGUUAUUUACAUAAUUACAAUGAUGAAGUAUUGCUGCAGUGGAAAUUCUAUCCAUCAAAGUCAUAGGAAUGCCCUUGAAACACAAAACUGGUCUGUUUGUGGCCUUUCUGUUGUCCUCUACCAGUUGGAAUGGCAAACAACGCUGAGAUGCUCAUAAAGUACUGCAAGAAGCAACACUAAAAAAAUCCAUCUUUGACAGUUCUCUCCCUUUCAUUCUCAGGCUGAUUCCUUUGCCCAUCACUGGGCAUCCCUCUUAACAAAUCCAUCUUCUCUUCACAUCCUUGACAUUGCAACGAAGUGGUUUUCUCUGUGUAGCAGAAGUCUGUAUACAGCACGGUAAGCUUCCCCAUGUGCAGUUAGAAGGUGUCUGGGAUUACAGGAAGCUGUCCUCUACAAGAUCCGAGGAGUCAAUUCCAAUGUCAUCCAUCAUGUCAAUGUCCUCAAUGGUCUCAUCCUCUCUCUUUAUAAAGGUAGAGCUACUGGAACCGGUUUCAAUGGCACUCUCUUCAGAUGUCUGGGAACUGUGCCUGUUCCUUUUGCCAAGCUCAUCUUCAGAAACAGGGUCAAUGUCAGGCAGGGGGAUGAUGUACCCACUGUCAGCACUCAGCCUCUGCUCAUCAAAUCCACUCUCUCUAUCCUUUAUCUUGUCUUCAUUCUUGUAGGUGACACCAAUGUAAGCAUUGUCACAGUCCCCUCUCAUUCGAGUGACAGCUGGGUGAUCGCUUUUCAGGAAGUCCAGGUGAAUCUUCUCGUAGCUCUUUUUGUACUCUCCAGGCAACAAGCUCUCCACAAUUUCACUCAGAUGGUAAAACGAAGGUCUUUUCUCUGGUUCACUGUUCCAGCACUUUACCAUGAUCUCAUACACUUCAUUGGUAGCAUGAUCAGGUUUUGCCAUUCGGUAGCCACUCUUUAUCUUAUUGUAGAAGGUGGAGUCGACCAUCAUGCCAGGAUAUGGUGUGCCACCAAGAGAAAAUAUUUCCCACAGCAGAAUGCCAUAAGACCAGACAUCACUUAAUGUUGUGUACAGAUUGUCAAAAAUGCUUUCAGGUGCCAUCCAUUUUACUGGGAGGAAGGUGCUGCCCUUGGAGACAUAGUUGGAAUCAUGCAUGAUGUCUCUAGCCAACCCAAAGUCGCAGAUCUUCACGAUUUUGCCUUGAGCCAGAAGGACAUUACGAGCUGCCAAGUCACGGUGUACGCAAUUUUUAGAAGCCAAGAAUUCCAUUCCCCGUGCAACCUGGUAGGUGAAGCUUAGCAAAUCCAGUAGGCUUAGACCCUCCGAACCGUCAUCUGAAAGAAGGUUUUUUACUUCUGAUUCUGACAAAGAUUUCUUCUUAUAUGAAGCAGGUCGAUCAUAUACAGAUCUCUGAAUAUCAGAGUAUUUAGAUCCCUCCUUCCUUUCCAGCAUUGGCACAUACUGAGUGGUAUCAGCUUGUUUCAUAUCCAUAUAUUCUCCGGUGUUUUCAAAUGAUAAAAUCACAUAGCUUCUUGUGCUUUCAUCAGCUGGGUUCAUCCCAAAAAUAUCCAGAUCUUUCUUUGGUUUCUCUGGAUGUCGGCUGAGGAAGUUGUCCCUGUUCUUGUGCAGAUAGUUCACCAAAUCACCGUAAAAGCAGUAUUCAGUGAUUAUGUAAAUAGGACCUGAUUUCGUACAAGCUCCAAGCAGGUUCACAAUAUUCAGGUGGGGCCCAAGAUGUGUCAUUAUCUUCAGUUCAGACAUGAGCGCCUGUUUUUCGCUGGAUCUAGCUGUAGGUUUCAGCAUUUUCACGGCUACUUUCAUCACAGGUUGAGAACGACUCAAUCCAUAUGCUGUCCCUUCCACCACUUUUCCAAAUGCACCAGAACCAAGGAUUCGACCAAGCACUAGCCCAUCUCGAGGAAACUCCCAUCUGGAGUCAUAAGGUAGCUGCAUUGGGUCCACAUAAAUGUAUUCAUGGCCAUCGGGGCUGAUAGACUCAAUGACUCUCCAUCUUAUCUCAUACCUUGGCUUCUGUUUCCAGAUGAUGACCAGGACAAUCAGUGAAAUUAUCACAAUCACCAGCAGUACUAAGACAGCAGCAGCCACCGUCAGUUCUGAUCGCAAGGUGGGAGCCACAAGUUUCAGUUCCCGAGUAACAGCUCCAAGGUCAUUUCUUGCUACACAUCUCACAGCCAGGGUUUCUUCUACCUUCUGGAAGGUCACCUGGCUUUCCACCAUAUUCCUCUCAUCCAGGUGGGCUUCCAUGUGUAUAUCAGAGAUGUUGUUAGUCAGAAGAGUCCAGGAAGUGUCAUUGCUGCAUUUUUUAAUGUCCUUGCAAACCAACCAUUCCACAUCAGGAAGCGGGGUACCUUCAGCCAAGCACCUCACCGUCUGCCUGCCAGCAGAGCCUUGGUGGUCGUCCAUGAGGUCUAAGAUCAAGGCUGGAACUUGUAUUAGCAACGAGAAGGUGUAUCUCUUAAUCUCAUCUUCAUUUUCAGCAACCAAAGUAUAGUACCCACUGUCUUCUUCCUUGGCCCGGAUCAAUUUUAGUACACUUUGAAACCGUGUUUCCUGGACUCUGUUUGAACUAGUAACAAUCUCAGUAAGGUUUUCAAUCAGAGUCACAUUAUCCUUCAACCAGUACAUUUUUGGAGCGGGGUACGCCUGCACAUCGACGACAAAAUUUUUGACUUCAUGUAGAUUGACAGCUUCCAAAGGGCUAAAUUGAGGCUCUAGAUGAAUGAACCCUUUGUCAUGAACUGUAAUGACUACUUUCUUAUUUUCCUUAACCUCCUUGGUUGCAUGUCGGGCAGUACAUUCAUAAUCCCCUGUGUCUUUCACUGAUGCGUCAGGUAUGGUCAACGUGUAAACCAACUUCUGUGAUGGGACUUUGAUAUCAUCAAGUUUUAUCAGACCUUUUUCUUUCACUUUCCCAGGAUAAUUCCACUGUAAAUUAACCACCUCAUUGUCAAAGACCACACAAGUUACUACGAUGGUCUCGCCUGUUUUGUAGACAGUUUUCAGAGCUUCAAUUUCAACCGGCAGCUGUGAAGUAGCUCUUAAAAUAUAGAUGAGGAACUCAUCGGACUUGAACUCCACGCCUUUAACCAUUGUUUUGCAUGUGUAUGGUCCUGCAAGGAAGUUCCCUACGAAGCCCUGUUUGCUGUCAUAGAAAGCAUAGACAGGCUUGUCUAAACUGUUAACUAAAGUCACUUCAGCACUUGGGUCACUUGUCCGACAAGGGAUAACAGUGGGAUCACCUUCUUCUACUAGGAUGAACUGGUCUUCUGGUAAGGAAGGAACAAAAGGCAUGUCUGGGUCAGGCACAUAGAUGUAGAUGUCCUUCCCCUCGACUUCCCCAUCCUCCACUUGCGUGUGGUUAUAAUAGCAAACAUACAUGCCCG
rnacentral:lncRNA from 1 species